rnacentral:rRNA from 1 species
AGAGUUUGAUCCUGGCUCAGGAUGAACGCUGGCGGCGUGCUUAACACAUGCAAGUCGAACGAAGUCUUCGGACUUAGUGGCGGACGGGUGAGUAACGCGUGGGAAUCUGCCUUCAGGAGGGGGAUAACAGAGGGAAACCUUUGCUAAUACCCCAUAUGCCUACGGGUGAAACGAAUUUCGCCUGAAGAUGAGCCCGCGUCUGAUUAGCUAGUUGGUGGGGUAAAGGCCUACCAAGGCGACGAUCAGUAGCUGGUCUGAGAGGAUGAUCAGCCACACUGGGACUGAGACACGGCCCAGACUCCUACGGGAGGCAGCAGUGGGGAAUUUUCCGCAAUGGGCGAAAGCCUGACGGAGCAAUACCGCGUGAGGGAGGAAGGCUCUUGGGUUGUAAACCUCUUUUCUCAGGGAAGAACUUAAUGACGGUACCUGAGGAAUAAGCAUCGGCUAACUCCGUGCCAGCAGCCGCGGUAAUACGGAGGAUGCAAGCGUUAUCCGGAAUGAUUGGGCGUAAAGCGUCCGCAGGUGGCAGUGUAAGUCUGCUGUUAAAGAGUCUGGCUCAACCAGAUAAAGGCAGUGGAAACUACACAGCUAGAGUACGGUAGGGGCAGAGGGAAUUCCUGGUGUAGCGGUGAAAUGCGUAGAGAUCAGGAAGAACAUCGGUGGCGAAGGCGCUCUGCUAGACCGAAACUGACACUGAGGGACGAAAGCUAGGGGAGCGAAUGGGAUUAGAUACCCCAGUAGUCCUAGCCGUA